rnacentral:piRNA from 1 species
ACAGGAGUGUGCUCUCAGGGCUUG